GGGGGCGACAGGUUUCGACGGCAGGAUGGAGGGUCCUGUGAAGCGUGCCGAGUUCUCCGCAACUCGUUAAACAGCGGUACCCCAACAAUAAGUGCCAACGAAAACUACGCACUGGCUGCUUAAGGAUUAAGUAGCCCGUCCCUUGGAAUCUACUCCGCCGGGGUUCCUUGAGGACGUCACAAACGGCGGAUGCUCCGGUUCCUUUGCUUCCGGGGUGACCGGAAAAGACUCAGGAAGCUCGGGAUGAGGGAUCCUGUCCCCGGGAGCCCGCAUCCGACAUCAAAACGGGGAAUGCGCACGGAGAAACACAGGGCUGGCCCCUGUCGGACCGGGGUUCGAUUCCCCGCGCCUCCACCA
rfam:Synergistales bacterium 53_16 MPI_scaffold_2313, whole genome shotgun sequence.